GACGGGGGAUGCAAGCGUUAUCCGGAAUCACUGGGCGUAAAGCGUCUGUAGGUGGUGAUGCAAGUCACUGGUGCAAAACUCUGGCUCAACCGGAGGAAAGCCAGUGAAACUGCAUGACUAGAGAGUGGGAGAGGUAGAAGGAAUUCCCUGAGCAGCGGUGAAAUGCGUAGAUACAGGGAAGAACACCGGAGGCGAAAGCGUUCUACUGGAACACAACUGACACUGAGAGACGAAAGCUAGGGGACCGAAUGGG
rnacentral:rRNA from 1 species